GACAGAGGGUGCAAACGUUGUUCGGAAUUACUGGGCGUAAAGCGCGUGUAGGCGGCUGCGCAAGUCGGAUGUGAAAUCCCAUGGCUCAACCAUGGAAGUGCACCCGAAACUGCGUAGCUAGAGUCUCGGAGAGGAAGGCGGAAUGCUUGGUGUAGAGGUGAAAUUCGUAGAUAUUGGGAAGAACACCGAUGGCGAAGGCAGCCAUCUGGACCGACACUGACGCUGAGGCGCGAAAGCGUGGGGAGCAAACAGG
rnacentral:rRNA from 1 species